rnacentral:rRNA from 1 species
AUAUCAUGAAGCGGAGGAAAAGAAAAUAACCAUGAUUCCCCUAGUAACGGCGAGUGAGCGGGAACAGCUCAAAUUUGGAAUCUCGCAGGACACCCUGCGCGAAUUGUAGUUUAGAGAAGCGGAUUCGGGGGACCGGGCGGCCCAAGUUCUUUGGAACGAGACAUCGCAGAGGGUGAGAAUCCCGUUGC